AUUGAACGCUGGCGGCAGGCCUAACACAUGCAAGUCGAACGAGUGGCGGACGGGUGAGUAAUGUCUGGGAAACUGCCUGAUGGAGGGGGAUAACUACUGGAAAAGGUAGCUAAUACCGCCAACACUCGGAUGUGGCAAGAUGGGAUUAGCUAGUAGGUGGGGUAACGGCUGACCUAGGCGACGAUCCCUCGCUGGUCUGAGAGGAUGACCAGCCACACUGGAACUGAGACACGGUCCAGACUCCUACGGGAGGCAGCAGUGGGGAAUAUUGGACAAUGGGCGCAAGCCUGAUGCAGCCAUGCCGCGUGUAUGAAGAAGGCCUUCGGGUUGUAAAGUACUUUCAGCGGGGAGGCGUUACCCGCAGAAGAAGCACCGGCUAACUCCGUGCCAGCCGCCGCGGUAAUUC
rnacentral:rRNA from 1 species